UAUAAGUUUGUUCCAUGCAGAGAUCAGAUUUAAUUUCUAGAUCAAUAUGGAUACAGUGCAACUCAAAUUGUCUUAAAGAUAAGAAUGUACAGCUGAGUAACUAGUUUUCUAGGUGCUGUCUUGAGAUUCUCUUGCUUAGUAAUGCUUCUAUGAAUGUGGCAACAGAUUCCAUUAUCCUUACAGAAUAGCCAGUUGGUGACAAAGUGAUCUGAUAGCAUUAUUUAUUUACUUCCUCUUUCAACAAUCA
rnacentral:lncRNA from 1 species